UACGUAGGGGGCAAGCGUUGUCCGGAAUCAUUGGGCGUAAAGAGCGUGUAGGCGGCCCGAUAAGUCCGCUGUGAAAGUCCAGGGCUCAACCCUGGAAUGCCGGUGGAUACUGUCGGGCUCGAGUUCGGAAGAGGUGAGUGGAAUUCCUGGUGUAGCGGUGAAAUGCGCAGAUAUCAGGAGGAACACCGGUGGCGAAGGCGGCAUCCUGGACCGGCAUUGACGCUGAGGCGCGAAAGCCAGGGGAGCAAACGGG
rnacentral:rRNA from 1 species